rnacentral:sRNA from 1 species
GUGUGUGUGUGCUUGUGUCUAUGUGUGUGUCUAUGUGUGUGUGCACGCGCAUACCCAUGUCUAUGUGCGUGUGUAAGCUGGUGGUUAACUUCAGUCCCAUUUCUCAAGUCCCUUGUUUUGUUUUGAGAUAUGGUCUCGAAUCAGCCUGGAACCUGACAAAUAGAUUGGGCUCGCUAGCCAGCAAACCCCAAGGUUCUGCCUGCCUGUGAGGCCUCCCCAGCACUGGUAUUACAAGCUAGCACUACCACUCCCAAAGAUUUCAUGUGGAUUCUAAGGGAUUGAACUGGGGUCUCCAGGCUUGUAAGAGAAUAACUUUAUCAACCAAACUGUCACCCCAGUCAAGGACUCCAGGUUUUAAAAUGGAGUUAAAGGGACUCUUAAGUGUUAUGAAGACUAGGAAAAAAAAGAACUCGGGGAGGCAGUUGGGGACCCAGAAAUCCUCUACGGCAUUACAUUCUGCACCUAAAGCACAGUUACCAAGCUAGAAUAUGAGUAAUACUCCCUACUACACAUGCAAGCAAGCCUGUGUUACAAAAGAGCAUUUAAGUGUCAAACCUUCAUCUCAUUUUUUUGGUAGUCUUCUUUGUAAGAUGUUGUGCACAUCUGAAGGGGGAAAGCACAGUCCAAGAAAACCGGGGGUGGUUAAGAUCCAAGAAUAAAGUUAUUGUCAUUGAGCACAAAUGGGUGGUUCUUUGGAACAAGCUUUCCUUCACUGUAUAAUAAUUCAUUAUUCACUAAGGGUAGAGUAGAACGUUGCUGUUCUGGAAUGCAUUGCAUAGAUGACUCCAAGAGUUGGUGUCCGCAUGCUUCUAGCCAUAAACGGUUGCAGAUGGGUUCUUAGAGUUCUGGAGACUGCAUGCCGAAGAGAAAUGACUUGCCUCGUCUUUCAUUCUUUGUAUAGUUGCAGGAGUUUGAAACUCACUAGUGCUUGGCUCUCCUACAGCAGACUUUGACCUAAAGGCCUGUGUAUUUGUAUCAUACCGGAAUCUUGACUCGAUCCAAACAGAAGGGUGAACUUAGUACAUGGUUCUUCAAAUCAUGCAUCACUUUUGCAAAUAGCUGACAUGAGUCCACGAAAUAGAAGCAGCCAUGGAAUCAAAUAUUUUCUCCAAGCUCCUACAACAGAGAUGCCAAAGAUUGAUAUAAUUGAACAAAAGACAUCUAGAAACAAAUCCAGACAUAGCUGACAGCGGAUUUCAAAGGGAUCCAGAGUUGACCUUGUGCAGGUUGCUGAGAAGACAACAUCCUUAAGCUCUGGGAGGAGGUAACUGAUAGCCCCUACAGCUCCCAGAGUGUAAGAGCCAGCUCUUCAGUAUCCAUGCUCGCACCUCUGCAUAUCCAAUCUGCCUUGCUGUAAACAACACUCCUCAAGGAAGCUGUGAGGUGGCACAAUGGGUGCUUAAGGUAGCUGCUGGAUGGAGUACUGGGCCUUCUACUACUGCAGCUCAAGUCAGAGAAGCAGAGGCCAGCAGCUUUGAGCACAAAUAUGUCAGUGGCAGGCCCUUAUGUCUGUAUAGCCCGGACACUUCAGAGUCAGAGAACACUCAACGACCCUGACCCGGCCUUUCAAACAGGCCUCAGAAGGUCACUGCUGUUCAUUCUCCACUGAUGUGAGCAAAAGAUGUCACACUCGGCUUGGGAUUGCUGCUACCUUAGCAAAACCUAAGUAUAUAAGUAACAAUAACAUUAUCAAAUGUUUAUUUUAUGUCAACUACUGAACUAGAGCUUUGUGUUUCUCAUUUAUUCUUCUUAAACAUUCUGUAGGCGUACACCACCACUGGCAUUUGGAUUUGCCAGACUGCCUUCCCAGGCCCAGCCAUCGCCUGUGUUUCCUGGGAUACCUCACAGGAUCUGAACUAUGAAAGUCAUCUCUGGGCCUACUUCUGCAGAACCUAACACAGACAAUGAGUUUCAAGGACGAAAGAUCGAGCCCUGCCAGUACCCCAUUCUGGGGCCCACAUUCUCCUCCGCUUCCCAAACUAUGACCUUACCAAGAAGUGCCUGCUGCAGAAAAGACAGUCACCCUCCCUUCUGUACCCAAAAGUGUGCACCCCACCGAGGUCUCUCCACUUCCUUCCUUUAAUGGUUGCAAGCAUGCUUUCAUGCUGUUAUUCCAGGGUCGGGGGUGCCCAUCUUGCUCUAAAUUUUCCACUUAAAAUUAAACACAUGAAAACUUUUUCUGCUUCAAAACUUUCAUAUUUCAUCCGUCUGUUUCCUAACCCUGUGUCAUUACAAAAGUAGAGAAUUCUGACCAUAGUGCUGUAAGCCAUUGGCUUUUAAUCUUACUUUAAUAAACAAAAAUCUUGGAACCAUUUCUACGGUCAAAGCAGCAUCUACAUACACAAAACGUUGAAUUGGCAAACGUGGAUCUUCACUAAUCUUAUCAGUUUGGAAAUGUACAGGGUAAUUACCUUAAUAAGAUCAGGACACUAGGAACAUCUACUCUGCGCUCGAUAAUAAAACACAUUAAUAUUCUCUUCCAGAGUGUUUCAAGACUUUUAACCCAUCUCUAAAAGUGUUUACCUCUGCUCCAGCUGCUUCUCUGUCACCUUCUAUGUCAGACACAGACAAAAGCCCAAGGCAUUGUACAUUAAUUACAUUCAGCAAACAUUACCCAAGGGUCAACAAAUGACUGAAUCCUUUCUCCAGAUAGAUUUCUCUUCCUGCAAGGAUGAGGUUCCAAAAAGCCAAACCAGCUAUCUAAGAGAUUCCACUUAAGCCUGUAGCUCCCGGGAGAUAGCAGAUGCGUGUUCAUCGACAUGACAACCCAAAAGGCUACAAGGAUGUAAGUAGGACGGCCUCAGAGACGGGAGCUUCUCAGAUGGCCCAAAGGACUGCUAUGUAAAAUAAAUAAGGAAAACAAAGUAGUAAUGUUUGCCAUUCACUUUCAUUAAGACACCAACAUACACACACACACACACACACACACACACACACACACACACACACAAAACUACCAUCAGCAACUAUAACAAC